rnacentral:lncRNA from 1 species
GGCGCGGAGAGAGCCGGAAAGCUGCUGUCCACGACACCACCACGCUGCGGGAGCCGCUGGAGGCACUGAGGUACUGCAGUCCCUCACCUGGAAUCGUUGGCUCCUAGGAAGCUCCUACUUGCCAGCCCUGGUCAUCGUCUCAAUCUCAGCUAACAGGUGCAAGAACCACGUCCUGACCAUUGGAGUCCAUACCCCAGUCUCGUUUUAACAGACACGUGCAGAGGGAAGAAAAGUUAUUAUCCUGGAUGGGAUUUUGAGCUACCAGGAUAAACUUUGACACAAGGAUGAUGUCAGUCUAUUGGAAAACUGUUGCAAAACCGCCUUUCUACUUCUCUAGCAGUUUAUCUUUCCA